AGCGAGCGCUGGCGGCAGGCCUAACACAUGCAAGUCGAACGGAUCCUUCGGGAUUAGUGGCGGACGGGUGAGUAACACGUGGGAACGUGCCCUUUGGUUCGGAACAACUCAGGGAAACUUGAGCUAAUACCGGAUGUGCCCUUCGGGGGAAAGGUUUAUCGCCAUUGGAGCGGCCCGCGUCUGAUUAGCUAGUUGGUGAGGUAAAGGCUCACCAAGGCGACGAUCAGUAGCUGGUCUGAGAGGAUGAUCAGCCAACAUUGGGACUGAGACACGGCCCAAACUCCUACGGGAGGCAGCAGUGGGGAAUCUUGCGCAAUGGGCGAAAGCCUGACGCAGCCAUGCCGCGUGAAUGAUGAAGGUCUUAGGAUUGUAAAAUUCUUUCACCGGGGACGAUAAUGACGGUACCCGGAGAAGAAGCCCCGGCUAACUUCGUGCCAGCCGCCGCCGUAAAAC
rnacentral:rRNA from 1 species